UGAACGCUGGCGGCGUGCUUAACACAUGCAAGUCGCACGAGAACUCUUCUGCUUGCAGAAGAUAGUAAAGUGGCGCACGGGUGAGUAACGCGUGGGUAAUCUACCUCCGAAUUGGGGAUAACCCGCCGAAAGGCGAGCUAAUACCGGAUAAUAUCCUUAAAACAUCCGUUUUUUGGAUCAAAGGUGGCCUCUACAUGUAAGCUACUGUUUGGAGAUGAGCCCGCGUACCAUUAGCUUGUUGGUAGGGUAAUGGCCUACCAAGGCUUCGAUGGUUAGCUGGUCUGAGAGGAUGAUCAGCCACACUGGAACUGACACACGGUCCAGACUCCUACGGGGGGCAGCAGUGAGGAAUUUUGCGCAAUGGGGGAAACCCUGACGCAGCAACGCCGCGUGAGUGAUGAAGGCCCUCGGGUCGUACAGCUCUGUCGAGUGGGAAGAACUUGUUGGAUGCUAAUACCAUCCUUCACUGACGGUACCACUAAAGGAAGCACCGGCUAACUCC
rnacentral:rRNA from 1 species